rnacentral:tRNA from 1 species
GGCCUCGUAGCUCAGCUCGUAGAGCGUACGCGUACAAUGCGUAGACGGCGUCCAUGCGUGGGUUCGAAUCUUAUCGAGGCUG